CGGCCGCUGGCGCAGGCACGCGGCGAGAUCGAAUUCCGCAACGUGUCGUUCGACUACGGCGCGGCCGA
rnacentral:tRNA from 1 species